GCGUCAAUCGCCCGCAUCGAACGACUGCCGUCGUCGCCUCGAGACGUCACGUCCCCCGGGUUCGUCGACCUCGUGCGACGCCGGCGUCGGUUAGGAAUGC
rnacentral:misc_RNA from 1 species